AUUGAACGCUGGCGGCAGGCCUAACACAUGCAAGUCGAACGGUAACAGGAAGAAGCUUGCUUCUUUGCUGACGAGUGGCGGACGGGUGAGUAAUGUCUGGGAAACUGCCUGAUGGAGGGGGAUAACUACUGGAAACGGUAGCUAAUACCGCAUAACGUCGCAAGACCAAAGAGGGGGACCUUCGGGCCUCUUGCCAUCGGAUGUGCCCAGAUGGGAUUAGCUAGUAGGUGGGGUAACGGCUCACCUAGGCGACGAUCCCUAGCUGGUCUGAGAGGAUGACCAGCCACACUGGAACUGAGACACGGUCCAGACUCCUACGGGAGGCAGCAGUGGGGAAUAUUGCACAAUGGGCGCAAGCCUGAUGCAGCCAUGCCGCGUGGAUGAAGAAGGCCUUCGGGUUGUAAAGUACUUUCAGCGGGGAGGAAGGGAGUAAAGUUAAUACCUUUACUCAUUGACGUUACCCGCAGAAGAAGCACCGGCUAACUCCGU
rnacentral:rRNA from 1 species